UGCGGAGGGAUCAUUACCGAGUUUACAACUCCCAAACCCCUGUGAACAUACCACUUGUUGCCUCGGCGGAUCAGCCCGCUCCCGGUAAAACGGGACGGCCCGCCAGAGGACCCCUAAACUCUGUUUCUAUAUGUAACUUCUGAGUAAAACCAUAAAUAAAUCAAAACUUUCAACAACGGAUCUCUUGGUUCUGGCAUCGAUGAAGAACGCAGCAAAAUGCGAUAAGUAAUGUGAAUUGCAGAAUUCAGUGAAUCAUCGAAUCUUUGAACGCACAUUGCGCCCGCCAGUAUUCUGGCGGGCAUGCCUGUUCGAGCGUCAUUUCAACCCUCAAGCACAGCUUGGUGUUGGGACUCGCGUUAAUUCGCGUUCCUCAAAUUGAUUGGCGGUCACGUCGAGCUUCCAUAGCGUAGUAGUAAAACCCUCGUUACUGGUAAUCGUCGCGGCCACGCCGUUAAACCCCCAACUUCUGAAUGUUGACCUCGGAUCAGGUAGGAAUACCCGCUGAACUUAAGCAUAUCA
rnacentral:rRNA from 1 species